rnacentral:rRNA from 1 species
UACGGAGGGUGCAAGCGUUAUCCGGAUUCACUGGGUUUUAAAGGGUGCGUAGGUGGGCAGGUAAGUCAGUGGUGAAAUCUCCGGGCUUAACCCGGAAACUGCCGUUGAUACUAUUUGUCUUGAAUAUUGUGGAGGUAAGCGGAAUAUGUCAUGUAGCGGUGAAAUGCUUAGAUAUGACAUAGAACACCAAUUGCGAAGGCAGCUUACUAC